GUUUGAGUCCAUUCGAAAACAUCCAAUAAAUUGGAACGAUAUAGAGAAGAUUAACAUGUCUUACACACAAGAUGACAUGAAUAAAUAGAGAAAUAUAAAUUAUUAAU